AUUGCAGUGAUGAGAUUAAGGCGCUCGUAGUGGGUGUCGAUGGGCAGUGGAUUACUCCGUGAGCCUAAUUCUUGAAUAAACGACUUCUCCUUCCACUGAGCAAC